rnacentral:rRNA from 1 species
UACGGGGGGAGCAAGCGUUGUUCGGAUUUACUGGGCGUAAAGGGCGCGUAGGCGGUCGUGACAAGUCACUUGUGAAAUCUCCGGGCUUAACUCGGAACAGUCAAGUGAUACUGUCGGACUAGAGUACAGAAGGGGCAACUGGAAUUCUCGGUGUAGCGGUGAAAUGCGUAGAUAUCGAGAGGAACACCUGCGGCGAAGGCGGGUUGCUGGGCUGAUACUGACGCUGAGGCGCGAAAGCCAGGGGAGCGAACGGG